rnacentral:rRNA from 1 species
GUACUGUGCGAACGUUAUUCGGAAUCACUGGGCUUAAAGGGUACGUAGGCGGCCGGAUAAGUAGGGGUGUGAAAGCUCUCGGCUCAACCGAGGAAUAGCGCUCUAAACUGUUUGGCUUGAGUAAGAUAGGGGUGUGCGGAACUUCCAGUGGAGCGGUGAAAUGUGUUGAUAUUGGAAGGAACGCCGGUGGCGAAAGCGGCACACUGGGUCUUAACUGACGCUGAAGUACGAAAGCCAGGGGAGCGAACGGGAUUAGAUACCCCGGUAGUCCUGGCCGUAAACGAUGAGCACUAGUUGGGAGGGGCUUCGGCCCAUCCGGACGCAGCGAAAGCGUUAAGUGCUCCGCCUGGGGAGUAUGGUCGCAAAGGCUG